GACGAACGCUGGCGGCGUGCCUAAUACAUGCAAGUCGAGCGGACGAAUCGAAAGCUUGCUUUUGAUUCGUUAGCGGCGGACGGGUGAGUAACACGUGGGCAACCUGCCCUGUAGACGGGGAUAACACCGAGAAAUCGGUGCUAAUACCGGAUAACACGAAAUGUCGCAUGACGUUUCGUUGAAAGACGGCGCAAGCUGCCGCUACAGGAUGGGCCCGCGGCGCAUUAGCUAGUUGGUGAGGUAACGGCUCACCAAGGCGACGAUACGUAGCCGACCUGAGAGGGUGAUCGGCCACACUGGGACUGAGACACGGCCCAGACUCCUACGGGAGGCAGCAGUAGGGAAUCUUCCGCAAUGGACGAAAGUCUGACGGAGCAACGCCGCGUGAGCGAAGAAGGCCUUCGGGUCGUAAAGCUCUGUUGUUAGGGAAGAACAAGUAACGCAGUAACUGGCGUUACCGUGACGGUACCUAACGAGAAAGCCACGGCCAACUACGUG
rnacentral:rRNA from 1 species